rnacentral:rRNA from 1 species
UAGGGAAUCUUCGGCAAUGGGGGGAACCCUGACCGAGCAACGCCGCGUGAGUGAAGAAGGUUUUCGGAUCGUAAAGCUCUGUUGUUAAGGAAGAACGAGUGUGAGAAUGGAAAGUUCAUACUGUGAAGGUACUUAACCAGAAAGGGACGGCUAACUACGUGCAAGCAGCCGCGGUAAUACGUAGGUCCCGAGCGUUGUCCGGAUUUAUUGGGCGUAAAGCGAGCGCAGGCGGUCAAUUAAGUCUGAUGUGAAAGCCCCCGGCUCAACCGGGGAGGGUCAUUGGAAACUGGUUGACUUGAGUGCAGAAGAGGAGAGUGGAAUUCCAUGUGUAGCGGUGAAAUGCGUAGAUAUAUGGAGGAACACCAGUGGCGAAGGCGACUCUCUGGUCUGUAACUGACGCUGAGGCUCGAAAGCGUGGGUAGCAAACAGG